GAUGAACGCUGGCGGCGUGCCUAAUACAUGCAAGUCGAGCGGAUGGAUUAAGAGCUUGCUCUUAUGAAGUUAGCGGCGGACGGGUGAGUAACACGUGGGUAACCUGCUCAUAAGACUGGGAUAACUCCGGGAAACCGGGGCUAAUACCGGAUAAUAUUUUGAACUGCAUGGUUCAAAAUUGAAAGGCGGCUUCGGCUGUCACUUAUGGAUGGACCCGCGUCGCAUUAGCUAGUUGGUGAGGUAACGGCUCACCAAGGCAACGAUGCGUAGCCGACCUGAGAGGGUGAUCGGCCACACUGGGACUGCGACACGACCCAGACUCCUACGUGAGGUAGCAGUAGGGAAUCUUCCGCAAUGGACGAAAGUCUGACGGAGCAACGCCGCGUGAGUGAUGAAGGCUUUCGGGUCGUAAAACUCUGUUGUUAGGGAAGAACAAGUGCUAGUUGAAUAAGCUGGCACCUUGACGGUACCUAACCAGAAAGCCACGGCUAACUACGUGCCAGCCGCCGCGGUAA
rnacentral:rRNA from 1 species